rnacentral:rRNA from 1 species
GACGAACGCUGGCGGCGUGCCUAAUACAUGCAAGUCGAACGAACCGCGACUAAGUGCUUGCACUAAGUCAAGGUGAGUGGCGAACGGGUGAGUAACACGUGGGUAACCUACCUCAUAGUGGGGGAUAACAGUCGGAAACGACUGCUAAUACCGCAUAGGACAUAGGAUCACAUGAUCCAGUGAGGAAAGGUGGCGCAAGCUAUCGCUAAGAGAUGGACCCGCGGUGCAUUAGCUAGUUGGUAGGGUAAAGGCCUACCAAGGCGAUGAUGCAUAGCCGACCUGAGAGGGUGAUCGGCCACAUUGGGACUGAGACACGGCCCAAACUCCUACGGGAGGCAGCAGUAGGGAAUCUUCCGCAAUGGACGCAAGUCUGACGGAGCAACGCCGCGUGAGUGAAGAAGGUCUUCGGAUCGUAAAGCUCUGUUGUUAGGGAAGAACAGCGCAUAGAGUAACUGCUAUGCGUGUGACGGUAUCUAACCAGAAAGCCACGGCUAACUACGUG